UUAAAUAAAACUCUGAACUGCACCUGCUAGUCUUCGUGUCCUGCGUUUGGUCCUACAACCUGCCUCUCCACACCACAAACUGACAUUUUGGACUAAAGAAUGCCCCAGAUACCUUCCAGGGGCUAACGAAAAUAAGUUUGGGAUAGCUCAAAGGCCGCACUUGCUUUGUCUAUUUAGAUGACAUCAUCAUUUUAGUAUCGUGGGAACAACACUACUUGGACAACCAGGCUGUUUUUAAUGAGUUAAGGGAAGCCAACCUUACUGUUAACAUGAAGAAUAGUAAAUUCUUCCAAACCUCUCUGCACUUCUUGGGCCACAUUGUCUCUACAAUCCAAGUGGAUCCAGGGAGGACUGCCAACUAACAUCAAAGCUUUCCAGAGGUUUUUGGGUAUGGCAGACUGGUACCACCACUUUAUGCCUUACUUCUCUGAGGCUGCUAAACCACUAAAGGAGCCAAAUUCCAGUGGAGCUCUGAAUGUUGGCAAUCUUUUGAGACUGACAGAUCACACCUCCUUGGUGUUUCUGAAAUUCAGAAACCAACUAUACGUCUCACCUCCUGGGUUCUUCAUAUGCAGUUCACCUUUGCAGUAGAGUAACAGGGGGGGAAGUACAAUACGGUUCAGAUGCCUUAUCCAGAGCCCCUAAUGAAAGUGUUUGCCAGGAGCCCUCAGCAUUUGCCACACUGCUGUGAGUUAAGGAACUUUGCUUAUCAGAUGAGGAGAUAUGAAGAGCACAACAAGAAGACACGGAAAUACAGAAAAUUUACCAGUUAAUACUAGAUGGUGGAGAGCUCACUGUAAAUGACUAUCCAGUUCACCAUCUUAGAAGACAAAGUCUACCGACUCCUGCAACUUCCACAUAAAACAAUCUACCAGAUCUACAUACCAGGACGUCUGAGGGAACUCCUUCUGCAGAUGCAGGGUUUGGGUUAUUACAUCAAAGUGUGUAGCAGAUGUGCGACCUGGUGCCCAGAGAGCUGCAGAGACCAGUGGUGGACUGAUGUGGAAAGGCCCUCUCCCCUUUUUGUUUACUUUUUAGAUUGAUUUUUAAUAUUGUCCAUAUGUCUGUUUUAUAUAAUAAUAAUAUAUGGUUAUGGUUUACAUUGCAAUAAAUUCUUUACAUUUAUUUGCA